GUGUCAGCAGCCGCGGUAAUACGUAGGGUGCGAGCGUUGUCCGGAAUUACUGGGCGUAAAGAGCUCGUAGGUGGUUUGUCGCGUUGUUCGUGAAAACCGGGGGCUUAACCCUCGGCGUGCGGGCGAUACGGGCAGACUUGAGUACUGCAGGGGAGACUGGAAUUCCUGGUGUAGCGGUGGAAUGCGCAGAUAUCAGGAGGAACACCGGUGGCGAAGGCGGGUCUCUGGGCAGUAACUGACGCUGAGGAGCGAAAGCGUGGGGAGCGAACAGGAUUAGAAACCCUUGUAGUCC
rnacentral:rRNA from 1 species